rnacentral:lncRNA from 1 species
CCUGGGUGGCACAGCGGUAGGAUCCCUGGGUGGCGCAGCGGUUUAGCGCCUGCCUUUGGCCCUGGGCAUGAUCCUGGAGACCCAGGAUCGAAUCCCACGUCAGGCUCCUGGUGCACUGGAGCCUGCUUCUCUCUCUGCCUGUGUCUCUGCCUCUCUCUCUGUGUGACUAUCAUAAAUAAAUAAAAAUUAAAAAAAUAAAGAUUUUAUUUAUGUAUUCAUGAGAGACAUUAGAGAGAGAAGCAGAGACAUAAGCAGAGGGAGAAGCAGGCUCCCUACAGGAAGCCCAUUGCAGGACUCAAUCCCAGAACUCUGGGAUCACACCCUGCAACAAAGGCAGAUGCUCAACCGCUGAGCCACCCAGACAUCCCUAGAAUCAAUCAUUUCUUAAAAGAGCCCUUGUUCCUAUUAGUGAAGAAAAUGGUAUUUGGAGGCCAUGCUCUGGGUGCUAGCAUGCUUACUUGCUACUGCAGUGUCACUGUUACCAGGCCCCCUCAGUGGACAAAGCUAAUAAAUAUGAAUACACACACAUAUUGCAUAUACACAUUUAUAGCCAUACUUAUUUUUAUAUCUAUGUAUCUAUAAUGAAAAUAAGUUUGCACUAAUAAAAUUCUAAUCUAAAACCACUCAGUUCUAGUUGUUUCCUUUUCCAUAUGUGUAACUCCCUUCCCUGACAAAAAAAAUGUUCAUUAUCCUUGAAUAUAUAGUUAUAUGUGAUGUGUCUUCCCGGAAGUAAUCAAUACCCCAUUGCAACUGCCAUACUCUCCCUGGACAGAUACUCCUCACCAUGCUCAGGCUCUUGCACAGUUCUAUAGAGCCAUCGUGGCUUUACUGACAUAUAUGCCUACCUUGCUCAGUUCCACCUAAUAGCUUUAGGAUUAAAUUGCUAGGAAAAGAAUGAAAAGUAAAGAAUCUUUCCCAGGUAGGUCAGAGAGACGUGAUGUGAAAAGGACUAAACCUACUGUUGUUGACUUUAAAGAUGGAGGGAGCAGGCCAUGAGCUAAGGCAUGUGGCAGCUUCUAGGCUGGUAACAGUUCUCACCUUAUAGCCAACAAAAAAAAUGAAGAUUCAGAUCUUCAGAUAUAAGUAACUAAAUUCUUCCAAUAACCCAAAUAAGCAGGAAACAGCUUCUCCCCUAAAGCCUCCAGAAAAUAACAGCCCUGCUGAUAUUUGAUUUUAGUGUGGUGAGACUCAUACAGGACUUCUGGCCUACAAAACUGUAAGAUAAUAAAUUUGCAUUUUUCAAGUCACUAAAUUGUGGGAAUUGGUUACAGCAGCAAGGGAAGACUAAUAUAAUGGUCAUUUAAUUUCCACCACAGGCUCCACCUCUACUGUUGAAAAUACCAUUUAUAACAUGAUACUGAAACAACUUGAUAUCUCUACAGAAAAAAAAAAAACAAAACAAAACCUCACCCCCCAUCUGACACCAUGAACAAAAAUUACUUCAAGAUUAGCCCUAAAAAACAAUUAUAAAGUUUUCAGAAAAAACAUAGGUAACUAUUUAAAUAUUUUUAAAAUGUGACAGUAGACAAAUUUCUUAAGUCACAGAGAGUAAUAACUAUCAAAGAAAAACGUUGAUAAAUUAAACUUUGUAAUAAAGCCUUUUGCUCAUCAAAAGACACUAUUAAAAAAUAACUAGGAAAUCCCAAGAGUACAAAAAAUAUUCAUAAAGCAUUUGUCUUACAGAGGCCUGGUAUCUAGGAUAUAUUAGAACUUAUAUAACUCAACAAUGAAAAUGUGAUCAGUUAAAAAUGGACAGAAAAUACGAGCAGAGGAAAUGUUCAAAUAGUUAUUAAGUACAUAAAAAAAGUGGUCAGCCUCAACAGUCAUUAGGGAAAGGCCAAUUAAAACACCACGAGACACUACAGAACACCAAUGAAAUACAUAUCCAGAAUGAUAGCACUAAAUGUUGGUGAAAAUAUAGGGCAACUAGAACUCUCAUACAUUAUUGUUGGGAGUGUAAACUGGUACAACUAUUUUGGAUAAAGUUCUAGCAGAAACUUUAAAGCUGAACUUACACCUACACACUAUAUCCAAACAAUUAUACUCCUAGGUGUUUAUUCAAAAGAAAUGAAAAAAUAGAGGCACCUGGGUGGCUCAGUCAGUUAAGCAUCUUCCUUCAGCUUGGGUCAUGAUCUCGGGGUCUUGGGAUCAGCCCUGUGUCAGGCUUCCUGCUCAGCAGGGAAUCUGCUUCUUCCUCUGCCCACACCCCUGCCAGUUGUGCUCAUGCUCUUGCUCUCAAAUAAAUAAAAUCUUUCCAAAAAAUGAAAAAAUACAUUCAUAAAAAGAAUGUUUAUAACAGCAUUAUAAUAGCAAAACACCUGGAAACAUCCCAGGAAUCUAUCAAUAGGAGAAUGGAUAAAGAAACUGUGAUAUAGUCAAUGAAAUCCAACUCUGUAAUAAGAACUAUUUAGAUACACACACAGAUCACAACAUGGAUAAAUUUUAACAAUGCUAUACUGGGGAACUGACUGGUAGGAGCACGAGGGAACUCUUUGAUAGGAUUUUGGUUUGCACAAGUGUAUGAAUUUGUCAAUGUUCUUCAAAUGAUAAAUUUAAGAAAAGGGUGGUUCACUGCAUACACAUUUUACCUAAAAAUCUGCAACGAAAUAUUGAACUUUAAUUAGUAAUAUGCAUGCUAAAGUGUUUAAGAGUAAAAUAUACUGAUGUCUGUAACUUAAUUUGAAACACAUAAAAAAAUUGACCAAUUCAUGGAUAAAUACACGGCUAGAUGGAUAGCUAACUAUAGGAUAAAGCAAAUACAGCAAAGUAUUCAUUGUAGUGUCUAGGUGGUGAAUACUUAGAUGUUUACUAUAUAAUUCUUUGUUUUAUAUGUUUGGAAAUUUUUGUAAGAAAAUGUUGGUGAAUACAUAUACAAUAAAUAACUGCCAAUCCAUAAUUUUGUAUACAAUGAAAAUAUCUUCUAAGAAUUAGGGGAUCUCUGAAAAUGUUUACCUACUCACUUGACCCAGAAAACCCCACAAAAUCAUGCAAAUCAAGAAUUCAAAUCUUCAUGUUCAUAUUAAGAACACUUGUGAAACUGCUAAAGCUAUUGUAUGCAUAUCUGAAAAAGCCACCAAGUCUCUGAAGAAUAUCACUUUACAGAAGCAACUUGUGCCAUUCUGUCAUGACAAUGGUGGAGUUGGUAAGUGUGCCUAGGCCAAACAGUGUGGUUGGACACAGGGUUGGUGAAUUGUUGGUUGGUACAUGCUUAAAAAUGCAGAGAAUAAUGAUGGACUUAAGGAUUUAAAUGUAGCUUCUCUGGUCAUUAAGCACUUAGAUGCAGUGCAGAAAUUAUAGAACUCGUGGUCAGAUUAAUCCAUACAUGAACUCCCUGCCACACUGAGAUGAUCCUUACUGAAAGAGAAGAGAUUGUUCCUAAAUCAAAAGGAGAGGUUGUACAGAAGAAAAAAUAUCCCAGAAGAAAGGGAAGAAACAAAAACUUAUGGCCUGGGAAUAAAUUCAAUAUAAAAUGAAUGGAAAUAAAAGUAUACACACAUGCACAUGUGUGCAUGGACGUAUGUGCACAUAUACACAUGUAACUAAAACAUACCACAAUGAUGGCAUUUAAGUUGGUAGAAGCAAUGACUGGUAUAAAGUAUUCCAACAUCAUUACACUGUUGGGCAGGAAAAAUGGUAAGUUUAGAUUGUGAUAACUUAAGUAUGUCCUACUAAAUUAAAGUUUUAGCAGAAGCACCAGAAUAAUGCAAAUAUAAUAUAUAUCUUCCAAAAGAGGAGGAAAUAAAAGAAGGGAGAGGGGAACAAUCUAAAGGAACAAAGGAGGGAAUCCCUGGGUGGCUCAGUGGUUUAGUGCCUGCCUUUGGCCCAGGGCGUGAUCCUGGAGUCCCGGGAUUGAGUCCCACAUCGGGCUCCCUGCAUGGAGCCUGCUUCUCCCUCUGCCUGUGUCUCUGCCACUCUCUCUCUCUCUCUCUCUCUGUGUCUUUCAUGAAUAAAUAAAUAAAAUAUUUAAAAAAUAAUAAUAAUAAAAUAAAGGAACAAAGGAGGGAAAUGAAAACAUCAAAGUUACAUAAUUAUACAGAAAGGCUGAAUAUGAGGGAACAAAAAAAAUUAGUCAAAAUACUAAGAAAGGUGAUGUAGAUAUAUUAAUAUUGGAUAAAUUAGACUUUAAAUAAAAGCAUUGUUAUAAAAAGAUCAAGAACAGGGGUGCCUGGGUGGCUUAGUCAAGUAUCUGCCUUCUUAUAACCUUAAGAAUUUAUGUUAGAAGUAUAAAAAAUUAGUUACCUAAGUCCAACUUAAAAUGUGAGAAAAAAAUGGCAGAAUAAAUUGAAAGAAAGUAAAGAAAAAAUAAAGAAUACAAAAUAAAGGAAAAAGAUUAAAAAGGCCCCAGAUAGGUUUUAGUGUUAUCAUGUACCAAAAAUUAUAACACUAUGUUAAAAGCAUGUAUAUAGUGCAGAUAAUAAAAAUGACCAACAACAAAAAAAUGACCAACAAAAUUGAAGAACCCCCUAACAGUUCUAUCUAUCUAUCUAUCUAUCUAUCUAUCUAUCUAUCUAUCUAUCUAUCAUAUACAUAUAUAAAUAUAUGAUAACCUAGUUUAUGACUGUCAGUAAGAGGGGAAAGGGUAGCCUUUUCAUAAUGCAAGACAACUGGUAUACAAACACACACACAAUUGUACCCCUCCUUUGUCUUACAGAAAGAGAUUGAUUCCAAGAGAUUUUUGAGCAAAAAAAAUGUGUAAGGCAAAACUAUAAAGCUUUAAGACAGAAAACUAAAAUUAUGACCUUGGUAUAGAGAAGAACUUUUCAAAAGAUUUUAGGAGUAUGCGCAAAAAAAAAAAAAAAAAAAAAAAAAGAGUAUGUGCACACCCUGCUGCACCUGAGUCAGGGAGGGGCAGAGGGAGAGAAUCCUCAAGCAGACUCCCCAUGGAGACAGGUCUCAAUCCCCCAACCCAUGAAAUCAUGACCUGAGCUGAAACCAAUAGUGGGUUACCCAACCAACAAAGGCACCCAGGUGCUCCUAGAGAAGAAUUUCUUAAACAAAAUGCAAACAAUUACAAGCCAUAUAGAAUAAUUAAAUAAACCUGACAUUAAAAGAGUACUUCUACUUAUUAAAAGAUUACUAAAUAAUGAAAAAACAAACUAUAAACUAGAAGGCAUGUUCAAUCAUAAACACCUAAACAAUUUUAAAAAUAAAUUUCUAAAACUAAUAAUAAAAGAUAACCCAAGAAAAAAUGAACACAAGACUUUAUUUUUAAGAUUUUAUUUAUUUAUUAGAGAGAGAUCACGAGCAAGGGGGAAGGGCAGAGGGAGAAGCAGACUGAGCAGGGAGCCCUCCUCAGGACUCAAUCCCAGGACUUUGGGAUCAUGACCUGAGCAGAAGGCAGACACUUAACUAACUGAGCCACUCAGGCCCCUGAGCACAAGACUUUAAUAGGCAUUUCACAGAAGAGGAAUGGCCAGUAAACAUAUGUUUAAAAAGAAAAAAAAAAAAAAAAAAAA